UUAAAAGUAUAGCUCCCGCUUUGCCAGAAAAUUUCUUCCAAUUCAAGUCCAAGUAAGAAUUCAGCAAAUACGAUCCAUAUUCAGAACCCACAAAGUGUAUUUUAGUGCUCACUGAAUUGGACAUUACAUAGUUUAACCCUAUUGACACAUAGCUCUCUGGAGUCUCGACGUCUAUUCUUUGUUAAAAAUUUCAUUGGAUAUUAGGAAUCAAUCUUACCUUUUAUGAUAGAUUUUUUAGUGAUUUGAAGUCCCUGAGAGGUGAAAUAACGGGUUGUCUAAAUUUUGGUAAACAUUAUUGAAUAAAUUUGCACAUACCCUAGGGAAAUUAAUGCUUUGGUCCCAUAAUAGCGCAGAGGGAGAAAAUAUUACAACUGAAAGUUUCUUUUCUGUGCAUUUGGCUAUUACAUCUAGUACAGUUGCACGUCUCACAUCGCCUUCGCGCAAGUUUCUAUUUGACCAGAUUAAGGGGUGCGACAUUGACUGUAUAAUUAUAACUAUUCCAUUUUCAUUAGUUUGCCAAUUUCGUGUUGCAUAUAUCCAACUAUGUGGUUCUGACGGUGAAGAUUCCAAUGGUAUAGAUAUUCGUGUUAGAAGGGAAUUUUGUAAAGUCCAACUGUAAACGUGAUCUAAUUUCAAUUGCAAGUUAACUCCUGAAUUAAAUGAUUACCCUACCAAGUACAGCAAAAUAGAAUUUUUCGUUGUACUCUUUAUCUUUGGUAACUUGAAAUUCAUAUAGCUCAUUUGGCGCGUUCAACUUCCUCAAGUAAAAAUCGUUGGUAAUUUGGAGAUUCAUGUCUUCAAGACAAUUCCCAAAGUUGACGUCCCUUUGGAGUACACGGGAUUUCUUUUUCCUAAACAUAUGUAAGGCCUACUUACCAAUAAUAAAUUACGAUAAGUCGGUUAGUAGUAGGUGACAUUACAAAAUAAUUGAAUGGUGACUCAAUUUUUGUU